rnacentral:lncRNA from 1 species
CACCAACUGCUUUAUGUAUUUCAUUUACAUCAACCAAUUUGUGUUUCCAUCAAAAGCAGUUAUACAGAAUUUCUUUUAACUUCUGGUAGCAAGUUCAGAAAAUGAAGCUUACAGCCACCCUGAACUGGAUACAUCUCUUGAGCUGACCAUUUCUGUAAGUGCAGGAAUAUAAUAUUGUUCUUCUAUGGUCUUUUUGCACUCUUUUAGGGUUUGCAAGUCCUUAUCAGGUCUGACAUCACUGUUUGGGUCUACAUUCAUUACAAGCAAAUUUGAUUACUAUGCUGAUUUUAAAACAGCCUAUUUGGCCAGCAUAAUCUUAGUUUUCAAAUUAUAAAAACCUUUUAAUAUACGAAGUUCCCAGUUUUUACCUCCUCUAGCUCCUUGCUCAUUCAAAACUUCUAUUUUAAUUGGUGUAAGUAAUAAUAAUUUGUAUUACUAUUUGUACUCCUUUUACUUUUUUGGAGAUUGGGCUGGAUUCCAGAGAGAACACCAGCAUCACCACCACCACAAACAACAAAAUCUAAAAGUAAAGCCCUUAUUUGCAUGAUAAUUG